AUGAACGCUAGCGGCAGGCCUAAUACAUGCAAGUCGGACGGGAUUCAGGAGCUUGCUUCUGAUGAGAGUGGCGCACGGGUGCGUAACACGUAUGUAACCUACCUUUAUCAGGGGGAUAGCCUCUCGAAAGAGAGAUUAAGCCCGCAUAAAAUCACAGCACAGCAUUGUGUAAUGAUCAAAUAUUUAUAAGAUAAAGAUGGGCAUGCGGAACAUUAGCUAGAUGGCGGGGUAACGGCCCACCAUGGCGACGAUGUUUAGGGGAUCUGAGAGGAUGGCCCCCCACACUGGUACUGAGACACGGACCAGACUCCUACGGGAGGCAGCAGUAAGGAAUAUUGGUCAAUGGGCGGAAGCCUGAACCAGCCAUGCCGCGUGCAGGAAGACGGCCCUACGGGUUGUAAACUGCUUUUAUACGGGAAUAAACCCAGAUACGUGUAUCUGGCUGAAUGUACUGUAAGAAUAAGGAUCGGCUAACUCCGUG
rnacentral:rRNA from 1 species